AGACCCGAAACCCGGUGAUCUAGCCAUGGGCAGGUUGAAGGUUGGGUAACACUAACUGGAGGACCGAACCGACUAAUGUUGAAAAAUUAGCGGAUGACUUGUGGCUGGGGGUGAAAGGCCAAUCAAACCGGGAGAUAGCUGGUUCUCCCCGAAAGCUAUUUAGGUAGCGCCUCGUGAAUUCAUCUCCGGGGGUAGAGCACUGUUUCGGCAAGGGGGUCAUCCCGACUUACCAACCCGAUGCAAACUGCGAAUACCGGAGAAUGUUAUCACGGGAGACACACGGCGGGUGCUAACGUCCGUCGUGAAGAGGGAAACAACCCAGACCGCCAGCUAAGGUCCCAAAGUCAUGGUUAAGUGGGAAACGAUGUGGGAAGGCCCAGACAGCCAGGAUGUUGGCUUAGAAGCAGCCAUCAUUUAAAGAAAGCGUAAUAGCUCACUGGUCGAGUCGGCCUGCGCGGAAGAUGUAACGGGGCUAAACCAUGCACCGAAGCUGCGGCAGCGACACUGUGUGUUGUUGGGUAGGGGAGCGUUCUGUAAGCCUGUGAAGGUGUGCUGUGAGGCAUGCUGGAGGUAUCAGAAGUGCGAAUGCUGACAUAAGUAACGAUAAAGCGGGUGAAAAGCCCGCUCGCCGGAAGACCAAGGGUUCCUGUCCAACGUUAAUCGGGGCAGGGUGAGUCGACCCCUAAGGCGAGGCCGAAAGGCGUAGUCGAUGGGAAACAGGUUAAUAUUCCUGUACUUGGUGUUACUGCGAAGGGGGGACGGAGAAGGCUAUGUUGGCCGGGCGACGGUUGUCCCGGUUUAAGCGUGUAGGCUGGUUUUCCAGGCAAAUCCGGAAAAUCAAGGCUGAGGCGUGAUGACGAGGCACUACGGUGCUGAAGCAACAAAUGCCCUGCUUCCAGGAAAAGCCUCUAAGCAUCAGGUAACAUCAAAUCGUACCCCAAACCGACACAGGUGGUCAGGUAGAGAAUACCAAGGCGCUUGAGAGAACUCGGGUGAAGGAACUAGGCAAAAUGGUGCCGUAACUUCGGGAGAAGGCACGCUGAUAUGUAGGUGAAGUCCCUCGCGGAUGGAGCUGAAAUCAGUCGAAGAUACCAGCUGGCUGCAACUGUUUAUUAAAAACACAGCACUGUGCAAACACGAAAGUGGACGUAUACGGUGUGACGCCUGCCCGGUGCCGGAAGGUUAAUUGAUGGGGUCAGCGCAAGCGAAGCUCUUGAUCGAAGCCCCGGUAAACGGCGGCCGUAACUAUAACGGUCCUAAGGUAGCGAAAUUCCUUGUCGGGUAAGUUCCGACCUGCACGAAUGGCGUAAUGAUGGCCAGGCUGUCUCCACCCGAGACUCAGUGAAAUUGAACUCGCUGUGAAGAUGCAGUGUACCCGCGGCAAGACGGAAAGACCCCGUGAACCUUUACUAUAGCUUGACACUGAACAUUGAGCCUUGAUGUGUAGGAUAGGUGGGAGGCUUUGAAGUGUGGACGCCAGUCUGCAUGGAGCCGACCUUGAAAUACCACCCUUUAAUGUUUGAUGUUCUAACGUGGACCCGUGAUCCGGGUUGCGGACAGUGUCUGG
rnacentral:rRNA from 1 species